UUUUGUUGUUUGUUUUAUCCCCCUCUGAAGUAAGUCUUGGCAUGCGUGUGGAGGUGCAUAAUCAUACGACCUGGCAGGAGGUGUCUUUUCCUGCUCUUCAUUGCGGAUCGUGAUGGGCGGUCUCUUUCCUUUUUCAGUAUGUCCACGGUGUUAUAGUCCAAGAAUCACUUCUCGCUGUCCUGCUACCUUGGCUUGAGGCAAUGGGGUUAUGGAGCAGGUCUGUCGGGGCCUGAUGUUGGGUGGGAGGAGCUAGCUGUAGUUCUCGGUUUGGGUAAGUCCAUUCUGUGUUGGGUGCGGAGUUAACCUCUUGACAUCUCUGGGGGGGACCUAGCUGUUGUCGUGCCUUCUUCAUGGUCUCUGAGCUGGUGGAUGGUCACUCCUUCCGUGGUCAUCGGUGGAACCCAUUCUUUGCCUCUUGGGGGGUGAGCGUCUUCUCUGUUCCCUCGGAGGUCGCGUGUAGGUCUGCGCUGGGUCCAUGGCGUACCAAUCCAUGAUGCGCACCUCUGUGAGUUUCAGUGCCCUGAGGAAUGGUGACACAUCCCUGUGUUCUGCUAUGAUGUGGUUGGUCCCUUUAAGUGUAACAAUAAGGGCCAAGGGGAAGCCCCAUCUAUAUUUGAUGUUUCUGGCCCGCAGUUGGUCUGUGAUCGGCUUUAGGUGUCGCCUUGCUUGGAGAGUGAGCCAUGAGAGAUCUUGGUAAAUCUGGAUCUCG